GGGAACAACCACAGGUGCUGACCCAGGGCACGGUUGGGGCCACGCAGGACUGGUUAACGGAUGUGUAGAAGACCAGUGCUAGAGGGAAGCAGGGCAGUAGCACAGGAAAGCACAUACUUACCUGUCUGGGCAGCUGAGUCAUCAUACCCAUCCUGAAGCCCACUCAUUUCUUGGACAAUCUAGUGCCAGGUGUCCUGGACCUUCGCUGAAACACCUGCAGUAAUCUGUGCCUGCAGCUGGGGCUGCCUCACUGCACACGACUGGGUUCCAAGGGACAGAGGAAGGGAGAGAAAGAAAGCAAGAAGAGAUGGAGGCACGAGAGCUGGGCAGGCUGACCUGCCGAGUGGCCGCGGCGGACACUGUCCUAGAGAGCCGUCCAGACUCCCAGCAGACCUUGCAUUAGCACCAGCCAUCCUGGAUCUGUUGCCCUCACCAUGCUGAACCAUAAGCAAGCCUGUUGAAGACAGACAAACAGAUGCCUGGCCUGGUCCUCCCCGCCGCCCCCUCCCUGCUGCCCCCUGGACACUUGCUGCUCCAGUGUGCACCAUGGUGAGGGCACAGGGAGGCACCACCUGCAUAGAUCUCACAACAGCACAUGGAGAGCUCUGCGCCAGGCCUUGGGUGCUUCUGGAUUCCUUGCAGCUGGUGAUUAUUUCAGGCCCGCUGCUGCCUCUAGCCAUGGCUCUUCAAUGAACUUGUAUCGGAAGAGAUUUACUACUCUAACUAGAUCUGUAUCUCAAUUUAAUGAAAAUGUUAAGGAUACUUUGAUGGUCUUGCGCCAGUGUAAUUUUAAAUGAAAUGUCUUCACUCUUUGGCAGCCUGCACUGCUCAGGUGUUUAACUAUCAGAAAGUGCUUAAGUGAAGUGCUCUUUGCAAUACUGUCUUUACAUCAGCUUGUUUUACAGCAUUUUUUUCCCCAGAGUAAACAAAAUAAGUUUUGUGGGUAUCUUUGAGGCAAAGCCUCAUCUGUGUUGCUAGAAAUUAAACCCUGGCCACCAUAGGUUACAAAGUGGUGCAUCUUGGGGGAGACACCAGGCCUGGUGCUUCUUUCUAAGCUUUGGUUUCCACGUUUGUAAAAUGUGGGUAAUAACGUUUCCCUCAUAGGACUGCUCUACGCACAUAAGUUUAAAAGUCCGUAUGGGGCCGCGCACAGUGGCUCACACCUGUAAUCCCAGCACUUUGGGAGGCUGAAGUGGGUGGAUCACUU
rnacentral:lncRNA from 1 species